UCAUCGUCAAGCUUAACCGGCCAGGGAUUCAGCACUGCCUCAUUCAGCCCCACUAACCUAUCUAGGCACCCCUAAAUUCCGGGGAAUGAAUUUAAAAACUAUCCGAUUAGGACACCCCGGGCCUAGCGAGGACCUAGGUGAGACGAGGCCUAGGCGCCCUUAAUAGGUGGUUAGUGCAAGCAAGGCCGUGACAGCCAAUUGGUAGGCUGGAAUGCCGAGAUUGGCAGCUGGAAGGUCGGGGGAUUUAACUAGAAUUGGGUAGCUCUGGUGUUAUUCUUAGUGAGGAUCCCACUUAGGUAGGCUAGUUAAGGAACCUGGGUGGGCGGCGGCACCCUAGGGGGAAUGAUAACCCCUAAUGGUGGCCCGAGAGGACAGAGGCGGCGGCCGGUUAUAUAGGGUGUUAAAAUAUGUAUAUAGCUC
rnacentral:sRNA from 1 species